rnacentral:rRNA from 1 species
GAUGAACGCUGGCGGCGUGCCUAAUACAUGCAAGUAGAACGCUGAAGGAAGGAGCUUGCUCUUUCCGGAUGAGUUGCGAACGGGUGAGUAACGCGUAGGUAACCUGCCUGGUAGCGGGGGAUAACUAUUGGAAACGAUAGCUAAUACCGCAUAACAGUAGAUGUUGCAUGAUAUCUACUUAAAAGGUGCAAUUGCACCACUACCAGAUGGACCUGCGUUGUAUUAGCUAGUUGGUGAGGUAACGGCUCACCAAGGCGACGAUACAUAGCCGACCUGAGAGGGUGAUCGGCCACACUGGGACUGAGACACGGCCCAGACUCCUACGGGAGGCAGCAGUAGGGAAUCUUCGGCAAUGGACGGAAGUCUGACCGAGCAACGCCGCGUGAGUGAAGAAGGGUUUCGGAUCGUAAAGCUCUGUUGUAAGAGAAGAACGAGUGUGAGAGUGGAAAGUUCACACUGUGACGGUAGCUUACCAGAAAGGGACGGCUAACUACGUG